GACGAACGCUGGCGGCGUGCUUAACACAUGCAAGUCGAACGGAGAGGCCCUGCUUUUGUGGGGUGCUCGAGUGGCGAACGGGUGAGUAGCACGUGAGUAACCUGCCCUUGACUUUGGGAUAACUUCAGGAAACUGGGGCUAAUACCGGAUAGGAGCUCCUGCUGCAUGGUGGGGGUUGGAAAGUUUCGGCGGUUGGGGAUGGACUCGCGGCUUAUCAGCUUGUUGGUGGGGUAGUGGCUUACCAAGGCUUUGACGGGUAGCCGGCCUGAGAGGGUGACCGGCCACAUUGGGACUGAGAUACGGCCCAGACUCCUACGGGAGGCAGCAGUGGGGAAUAUUGCACAAUGGGCGGAAGCCUGAUGCAGCAACGCCGCGUGCGGGAUGACGGCCUUCGGGUUGUAAACCGCUUUCGCCUGUGACGAAGCGUGAGUGACGGUAAUGGGUAAAGAAGCACCGGCUAACUACGU
rnacentral:rRNA from 1 species